rnacentral:rRNA from 1 species
AUUGAACGCUGGCGGCAGGCCUAACACAUGCAAGUCGAGCGAGCGGCGGACGGGUGAGUAAUGUCUGGGAAACUGCCUGAUGGAGGGGGAUAACUACUGGAAACGGUAGCUAAUACCGCAUACCAUCAGAUGUGACAAGAUGGGAUUAGCUAGUUGGUGGGGUAAUGGCUCACCUAGGCGACGAUCCCUAGCUGGUCUGAGAGGGUGACCAGCCACACUGGAACUGAGACACGGUCCAGACUCCUACGGGAGGCAGCAGUGGGGAAUAUUGCGCAAUGGGCGCAAGCCUGAUGCAGCCAUGCCGCGUGUGUGAAGAAGGCCUUCGGAUUGUAAAGCACUUUCAGCGGGGAGGCGGUACCUGCAGAAGAAGCACCGGCUAACUCCGUGCCAGCAGCCGCGGUAAUUC